CGAGUCGCCCCAAGCGUUAUCCGGAAUUAUUGGGCGUAAAGGGUGUGUAGGUGGUUUGUUAGUCUUUGUUAAAGCUCUCGGCUUAACCGGGAACAUGCAGGAGAAACGGCAUAACUAGAGGAUGCGAGAGGUGUGCGGAACUCAUGGUGUAGGGGUGAAAUCCGUUGAUAUCAUGGGGAACACCGAAAGCGAAGGCAGCACACUGGCGCACUCCUGACACUGAAACACGAAAGCGUGGGUAGCGAAUGGGAUUAGAUACCCCAGUAGUCCACGCCCUAAACGAUGUUCAUUAGCUAUUCGGAGUAUCGACCCUCUGAGUGGCGUAGCUAACGCGUUAAAUGAACCGCCUGGGUAGUACGGCCGCAAGGCUA
rnacentral:rRNA from 1 species